GCAAACUUGGUCAUUUAGAGGAAGUAAAAGUCGUAACAAGGUUUCCGUAGGUGAACCUGCGGAAGGAUCAUUAAAAAUUACUAGUUCGCUAGAACUUACACUACAAAGCUUGUUGCGGUUAAAUCAUAAGAACUUCUGCUUCAAGUUUUGUUUUGUCACUCUUUGUUGAAACCUCCACUUUUGCUUCAGCAGCACUCAACCUUUAAACCGUUGAGGUAAGGCUGCCAGAAGCCUUUAUGAAAACUAGUUGAUGAAAUGUCAUGCUGUCUGAUACUUUUUUAGUAUUUGAAAAAUCAAAUUACUUGUUAAAACUUUCAGCAACGGAUCUCUUGGUUCCCGCAUCGAUGAAGAACGCAGC
rnacentral:misc_RNA from 1 species